AUUGAACGCUGGCGGCAUGCUUUACACAUGCAAGUCGAACGGUAACAGGUUAAGCUGACGAGUGGCGAACGGGUGAGUAAUGCAUCGGAACGUGCCCGAUCGUGGGGGAUAACGCAGCGAAAGCUGCGCUAAUACCGCAUACGAUCUGAGGAUGAAAGCGGGGGACCGUAAGGCCUCGCGCGAUCGGAGCGGCCGAUGUCAGAUUAGGUAGUUGGUGGGGUAAAGGCUCACCAAGCCAACGAUCUGUAGCUGGUCUGAGAGGACGACCAGCCACACUGGGACUGAGACACGGCCCAGACUCCUACGGGAGGCGGCAGUGGGGAAUUUUGGACAAUGGGCGAAAGCCUGAUCCAGCAAUGCCGCGUGCAGGAAGAAGGCCUUCGGGUUGUAAACUGCUUUUGUACGGAGCGAAAAAGCCCUCUCUAAUACAGUGGGCUCAUGACGGUACCGUAAGAAUAAGCACCGGCUAACUACGUGCCAGCAGCCGCAGUAA
rnacentral:rRNA from 1 species